UGGUCUUGCGGCCCAGCACCCGCUUGCCGUUCACCUGGUGCUCCUGGUCUGCCCCCACCACAGCGAAGGGAAUCUUCUCCUGCCAGCAGAGGCUGUGCUCGCCCCAGGGUGAGUGUGUCAGCUUUGGCGAUCACCGGCACCACGUUGACGAUCUUGCUGAGCCGCCGCAUGAACUCCAGGUCCAGCGGGCGCAGCCUGACAAGGGCCACCGUCACUCCAGGCUGUCCCCACCUCUGCCACUGGGAGGUGACCCCACCACUACCACACCAGAGUCACUCUGAGGUGACCCCAGCACUACCACCCUGAGGGACCUUCCCCACUACCACCCCAGGUUGAUACCCUAUCUCUGUCACCCUGCAGUGAUCCCACCAUCAUCAUCCCAGGGUGACACAACCACCCCACAGUGACCACCCAAACACUGUCACCACGGGGUGACCACACCACUACCACUCCAGAGUCACCCUGAGGUGCCUCCACCACCAUCACCUCAGGGUGGGGUUAUCACCCCAGACUCCACCACCAUCACCUCAGGGUGACCCCACCACCGUCAUGCCAGGGUGGCACAACUACCCCGUGGUGACCCCAUCACCUGUGGGUGCUCUGAGUGAGGGUCACUCACCAGUGACCUGUUGGGGGCACAAAGUAGACACAUCCAUGGACGCGGGUGUCCGGGAUCUUCCUCUUGCGGGUGAUGAGGAUCUCCUCCCGCAGGUAUCUCUCGUACUGCUCAUUGAUGUAUUUGAUGAUGGGGUCCCAGCUGAGGAGGAGGAGUUGAGGGACAGCAUCUGAGCUCAACCCCUUCCCCAAACUGCCACCCACUGAGCUGGGCUCCUGCUCCCCAUUGUGUCCUACCAGUUCUCAUUGUUGAUCUGGUCCCCAAAGCCUGGUGUGUCAGUCACCGUCAGCUUCAUCUUCACCCCCUUCUCCUGGAUGACUGUGGGGCAGAGGUGGGUCAGGGGGGAAGAAACAUUGGGGAAAAGCAGGGGACCAGGCAUGGGGGGUGUUUUGAGGCUGUGAACGCAGCUUCAGACCCCCAGCCCAGUCCCCUGAGGGCUGGUGGGACACGACCCCGUGGUGGGACCUUACUGUGGGUGAUGGACUGGAGCUGCACUGUUUUGGGAAUACGUUCCUCCUGGCCGGGCUGCGAGGAUUUGCGGCUCACCUUGGACUUGAAGAGGGUGUUCACCAUCGUGGACUUCCCCAGCCCGCUCUGCCCUGAGGGGACACCAGCAGCUCUGGUUUGUCCCCCAGGGCAGGAACAUCUUGAUAUCCACUUGGGAGCAACCCAGAGUUUAGGAUAACUGCUUUAUCCCCAAAUAAAUUUCUUCCCCAAGGCAAUAA